UUUACAAGGAGGAAUUUUCUGUUGUUAUAUUUAUUUUAAAUUUCUUCAGCGAAUUCUCAUUCUUUGAAAAAGAAGACUUGCUUCUCUUAAAUUUUGCAAGAGCAAAUAAAGCGGAAUCUCGACAACAUAAGCUCCAGAUUGGACUUGGUAAUCACCGGUAGUUUAAAAAUCUUGAGAAAGUAACAAAAAAAAGGAUCGUUACAUCUGCAUUUGCAAGGUGAUUUAAGAUGCAUUCAAAAGAAAAAUAUUCUGAUUUCAUUGUUCCACAAAAAAAGAAUGACUUUUUGCCUGGAGAACAAGAAUAAACCCGUUCUCAUUCUUUUGUUUUAAAUCCAGUACAUGUUAAAUUCUUUUAUUUUUAUAUCCUUCACCUGUUUGCUUCUUAAAUAAUGCAUAUUUUUGUUAAAGUUCAUGCAUUGUUUGGUGCGCUAUCUAUAACACAGUUGAAUAAUUCAAGAAAUAAUUUAAAAUAGAACAGUAAACAAGAACCGCCAUCUUGAAUCGUGCUGAUAGGAUUCGAAUAAUAAAUAAAAAUUAAAUUGAUAAUUAUUUGAAUUUAAAGUUGUAUAAAUUCAAGUAAAAGAA